rnacentral:rRNA from 1 species
GAUCAACGCUGGCGGCGUGCCUAAUGCAUGCAAGUCGAACGGCAGCGGGGGAGAAGCUUGCUUUUCCUGCCGGCGAGUGGCGAACGGGUGAGUAAUACAUCGGAACGUGCCCUGUAGUGGGGGAUAACUAGUCGAAAGAUUAGCUAAUACCGCAUACGACCUGAGGGUGAAAGUGGGGGACCGCAAGGCCUCAUGCUAUAGGAGCGGCCGAUGUCUGAUUAGCUAGUUGGUGGGGUAAAGGCCUACCAAGGCGACGAUCAGUAGCUGGUCUGAGAGGACGAUCAGCCACACUGGGACUGAGACACGGCCCAGACUCCUACGGGAGGCAGCAGUGGGGAAUUUUGGACAAUGGGCGAAAGCCUGAUCCAGCAAUGCCGCGUGUGUGAAGAAGGCCUUCGGGUUGUAAAGCACUUUUGUCCGGAAAGAAAUGGCUCUGGUUAAUACCUGGGGUCGAUGACGGUACCGGAAGAAUAAGGACCGGCUAACUACGUGCCAGCCGCCGCGGUAA